CGGGGCGUAGCUCAGUUUGGCUAGAGCGCCGGCUUUGGGAGCCGGAAGUCGCAGGUUCAAAUCCUGUCGCCCCGA
rnacentral:tRNA from 1 species